rnacentral:rRNA from 1 species
GCUCGUGUCGUGAGAUGUUGGGUUAAGUCCCGUAACGAGCGCAACCCUUGUCCUUAGUUACCAGCACGUUAUGGUGGGCACUCUAAGGAGACUGCCGGUGACAAACCGGAGGAAGGUGGGGAUGACGUCAAGUCAUCAUGGCCCUUACGGCCUGGGCUACACACGUGCUACAAUGGUCGGUACAAAGGGUUGCCAAGCCGCGAGGUGGAGCUAAUCCCAUAAAACCGAUCGUAGUCCGGAUCGCAGUCUGCAACUCGACUGCGUGAAGUCGGAAUCGCUAGUAAUCGUGAAUCAGAAUGUCACGGUGAAUACGUUCCCGGGCCUUGUACACACCGCCCGUCACACCAUGGGAGUGGGUUGCUCCAGAAGUAGCUAGUCUAACCUUCGGGAGGACGGUUACCACGGAGUGAUUCAUGACUGGGGUGAAGUCGUAACAAGGUAGCCGUAGGGGAA